rnacentral:rRNA from 1 species
ACAGCAGCAGCCACGGGAAUACGUAGGGCGCAAGCGUUAUCCGGAAUUAUUGGGCGUAAAGAGCUCGUAGGCGGUUUGUCGCGUCUGCCGUGAAAGUCCGGGGCUCAACCCCGGAUCUGCGGUGGGUACGGGCAGACUAGAGUGAUGUAGGGGAGACUGGAAUUCCUGGUGUAGCGGUGAAAUGCGCAGAUAUCAGGAGGAACACCGAUGGCGAAGGCAGGUCUCUGGGCAUUAACUGACGCUGAGGAGCGAAAGCAUGGGGAGCGAACAGGAUUAGAUACCCGAGUAGUCCCUGUCUCUUAUAA